rnacentral:rRNA from 1 species
GAUGAACGCUAGCGGCAGGCUUAACACAUGCAAGUCGAACGGUAACAGAAAAAGCUUGCUUUUUGCUGACGAGUGGCGAACGGGUGCGUAACGCGUAUGCAACCUACCUUCUUCUAUGGAAUAGCCCAGAGAAAUUUGGAUUAAUACCUUAUGAUAAUAUUUAUUCGCAUGUUUAAAUAUUUAAAACUCCGGUGGAAGAAGAUGGGCAUGCGUAACAUUAGUUUGUUGGUGAGGUAAUGGCUCACCAAGACUACGAUGUUUAGGGGGUCUGAGAGGAUGAUCCCCCACACUGGUACUGAGACACGGACCAGACUCCUACGGGAGGCAGCAGUGAGGAAUAUUGGUCAAUGGACGAAAGUCUGAACCAGCCAUGCCGCGUGAAGGAUGACGGCCCUACGGGUUGUAAACUUCUUUUGUUUAGGAAGAAACCCCUCUACGUGUAGAGGGUUGACGGUACUAUUCGAAUAAGCACCGGCUAACUCCG